GAGGCCGGAGGCGUCCGGGUGCUGUGUCGAUCGCCGGCUGGUACCCACUGCCGCAGCUGCUGUGGAGGGAUGCUCGCGGGCAGCACCUGCCCUCGGUCUCCCAGACACAUUCCCAAGACCAGGAGGGGCUCUUGAAAUCGGAGGCGCCGUCAUUGUGACCGGGAGCAUGGAGGGGCCUUGUCCUGCGUGGUGAGGAACAGCCGCCUGCAGCAGGAACGGGAAUCAUCCCUGAACAUUGCAGCUGCAAUCUUCCACAACGCCCAGCCCUGGAAGGUGGCUCUGGCUCUGGUCCUCGUGCUUUUGGCUGUGUCCAUUGGCCUCGGUGUUUAUCUCUUUCGAAGCAAGCGGCACAGAGACGAGAGCUGGCGGAUGAAGCAGCAGAUUUGGGUGAGUGUCCAUGUGCUUGGGCCCCAGGGCAAG